CCCUUAGAUGUUCUGGGCCGCACGCGCGCUACACUGACGAAUGCAACGAGCUUAUAACCUUGGCCGAAAGGUCUGGGUAAUCUCCAAAUUUCGUCGUGAUGGGGAUAGAUUAUUGCAAUUAUUAAUCUUCAACGAGGAAUGCCUAGUAAGCGCAAGUCAUCAGCUUGCGUUGAUUACGUCCCUGCCCUUUGUAUACAUCGUCCGUCGCUCCUACCGAUUGAAUGGUCCGGUGAAGCGUUCGGACCGUGGCCUUUGGACGGUUCGCCGUCUGUUGGCUGCGGGAAGUUCGUUAAACCUUAUCAUUUAGAGGAAGGAGAAGUCGUAACA
rnacentral:rRNA from 1 species